GCUUAGAGGCAGCCACUCAUUAAAAGAGUGCGUAAUAGCUCACUGGUCGAGUGACCCUGCGCGGAAAAUAUAACGGGGCUAAGCGUCCAACCGAAGCUUGGGAUGUCUAAGGACAUGGUAGGGGAGCGUCGUGUAUAGGGAGAAGCAUGAGCGAGAGCACAUGUGGACAGUACACGAGUGAGAAUGCCGGAAUGAGUAGCGAGAAUUAUGUGGGAAUCAUAAUGGCCGAAAAUCUAAGGUUUCUUGGGGAAGGUUCGUCCGCCCAAGGUAAGCCGGGAGCUAAGGCGAGGCCGAAAGGCGUAGUCGAUGCACAUACGGUUGAAAUUCCGUAGCCGCCGAAAUUGUUUAGCACAGGGACACAUAGAGAUAUCCGAACCCGGGCGUUGGUUGACCCGGGCGCAAGGGACCGAACAUCAGUAGGGAAGUCGGAGAUGCUCUGUGGCGAGAAAAGCUGUGUGUAUUGAUUAGGCGCCCGUACCGCAAACCGACACAGGUAGAUGAGGAGAGAAUCCUAAGGCCAACGGGAGAAGGGUUGUUAAGGAACUCGGCAAAUUGACCCCGUGACUUCGGGAUAAGGGGAGCCUCCUACGGGAGGCCGCAGUGAAUAGGCCCAAGCAACUGUUUACCAAAAACACAGGUCUCUGCUAAAUCGAAAGAUGACGUAUAGGGGCUGACGCCUGCCCGGUGCCGGAAGGUUAAGAGGAGAGCUUAGCGCAAGCGAAGGUUCGAAUUGAAGCCCCGGUAAACGGCGGCCGUAACAAUAACGGUCCUAAGGUAGCGAAAUUCCUUGUCAGGUAAGUUCUGACCCGCACGAAUGGCGUAAUGAUUUGGGCGCUGUCUCAACAGCCCGCCCGGCGAAAUUGUAGUACUGGUGAAGAUGCCAGUUACCCGCAACUAGACGGAAAGACCCCAUGGAGCUUUACUGUAGCCUAAUACUGAAGAUCGGUAAUGCAUGUACAGGAUAGGUGGGAGCCAGCGAAACCCGGGCGUCAGCUCGGAUGGAGGCAACCUUGGAAUACCACCCUUGUAUUGCUGGUUUUCUAACCUGCGGCCAUGAAUCUGGUCGGGGGACACUGUUAGGUGGGCAGUUUGACUGGGGCGGUCGCCUCCAAAAGCGUAACGGAGGCGCUCAAAGGUUGGCUCAGCACGGACGGAAAUCGUGCAUAGAGUGCAAACGCAUAAGCCAACUUGACUGCGAGACCGACGGGUCGAGCAGGUACGAAAGUAGGAGUUAGUGAUCCGGUGGUAUGUGAGUGGAAAUGCCAUCGCUCAACGGAUAAAAGCUACCCUGGGGAUAACAGGCUGAUCUCCCCCAAGCGUCCACAGCGACGGGGAGGUUUGGCACCUCGAUGUCGGCUCGUCACAUCCUGGGGCUGUAUUCGGUCCCAAGGGUUCGGCUGUUCGCCGAUUAAAGUGGCACGCGAGCUGGGUUCAGAACGUCGUGAGACAGUUCGGUCCCUAUCUGUUGCGGGCGCAGGAGAUUUGAAGGGAGCUGUCCUUAGUACGAGAGGACCGGGAUGGACAGACCUCUGGUGCACCAGUUGUCGUGCCAACGGCACAGCUGGGUAGCUACGUCUGGACGAGAUAAACGCUGAAAGCAUCUAAGUGUGAAACUCCCCCUAAGAUAAGAUCUCCCAUCCAUUAGGAGUAAGGGACGACAGAGACUAUGUCGUUGAUAGGUCGGAAGUGUAAGUGCAGUAAUGCAUUGAGCUGACCGAUACUAAUAACCCGAGGGCUUGAUC
rnacentral:rRNA from 1 species